rnacentral:rRNA from 1 species
GACGAACGCUGGCGGCGUGCUUAACACAUGCAAGUCGAGCGGUAAGGCCCCUCGGGGUACGACGAGCGGCGAACGGGUGAGUAACACGUGGGUGACCUCGCCCUCCAGCUCUGGGAGUAAGACCUGGGAAACGUAGGGUCGUAAUACCGGAUAUGACUCCAUGACGCAUGUCGUGGGGUGGAAAGCCUUGUGCGGCUGGGGAGUGGGCCCGCGGCCUAUCAGCUUGUUGGUGGGGUGAUGGCCUACCAAGGCGACGACGGGUAGCCGGCCUGAGAGGGCGACCGG